GGAAUUGACCCCAAACGUUUGGGAAUCGGCCCCAAAUUGUGGGGAAUCAGCGCUGAAUUGCAGAGAAUCGACCCCAAAAUGCACGGAACUGACCUCAAAAUCCUAAGAAUCGACCCCAAACUCGACCCCGCUGGGACAAAAAACCCGAAUUCCAGGAACUGAGCCCAAAUUCUCAGCAAUCGGCCCCAAAUUCUUAGGAGUUGAGCCCAAAUUCCAGGGAAUCGUUCCCAAAUUUGAGGGAAUUCACCUUGAAAUCUCCGGAAUUGACCCCAAAGUCUUGGGAACUGACCCCAAAUUCUGUGGGUUUGGACCUAAACUCUCAAGAAUUGACCCCAAAUUCUGUGUGUUUGGCCCCAAAUUCCAUGGGCUCAGCCCCAAUUUCUCACAAAAUGACCCCAAAAUCUCAGGAUCUGAGCCCGAAUUCCACACAAUUGGCCCCAAAUUCUCACCAAAUGACCCCAAACUCAGGGACUGACCCCAAAUUCUGCGGAAUCUGCCACAGAUUCUC
rnacentral:lncRNA from 1 species